GCCGGCUUCCUCGGGCUUCCGCGGACCGAGCUGGCCGCAGCCGCCGGCAGCAGCUACUCUGGAAGCAGCUCACGUUUUCUGCAGCACGGGCUGACCCAGCACCGCCGCAGGAGGAGACUGGGGGUUUGUGCCGGCCCCAGAGUCUGCCUGGCAUCUGCCACUGCCCGGCUGGGGGACAGCAAGGGACCGCUGCAGGUCGCCAGCUGACCCCUGCUAUUAAGAAGCGUCUCCAGGUUGACGGGUAUCCACUGUCCAGCUCCUGAUGCGUGGGUUAACCCGCUGUCAGCUGCAUGGUCCCCUGUUCACGGUUCCUCACCCGCCGCCCGCAGACUAACUCCAGGACUAUCUUCUACUGAGCCAGCACAUAGAAUACUAUUCAGAAAAUGAAACAUCUUGAUGGGCCGGCACACAGGAAAAGAAACACUCAGCUCUUCAGGGAAUGUUUUAAAGUGUUGAUAGAGGACCCCAAAGGAACUGCAUUUGGGUUAUCAUCAAAUGAGGGGGCUGCAUAGCGGGCAUUGUCCUCCCACCCUCCCGCUAACCAACACACCCUGUGAUUCAUUACUUCAUAUUUAUCAAGUGCUAUCUCCGUUCUCCAAGCCCCGGGGUUUCUGUCAUCUGUGGCUGUAAUGACAUUAAUUUGCUGGUCGCCAACCUGAGUUACUUGUGUACCACUGUCAUAACAAUCGUUAUUAUUCUUUCAGGGAUCGCCACCCAAAUACA